AUGAAAUACUUCAUGAAACAUGAAGUGUAAUGGAUAAUUGUAAUAAAGAUAUGGCUAUUAGCUCAAUGAGCUUAAACAAAUGUGCAUCAUGAAAGGUUGAGUAUAUCAGAAAUUGUGUGAAACAAGGCUUAAUUAUUAUUGACAACCACUUAUCGAAUAUAAGAGCAAGAGAGUAUAAACUCUUAGAUUAAAAUAUGAAUGGUUGCCUACUGAAUCCUUGAUUAUGACUAUGAUAUAUGGGUGCUACACUGGGAAGUAUCAAGUCACAAUGUGUAUGCACACAUGCAUAAAUGAAAGAGUGA
rnacentral:lncRNA from 1 species